rnacentral:rRNA from 1 species
CCUACGGGUGGCAGCAGUGGGGAAUAUUGGACAAUGGGCGAAAGCCUGAUCCAGCCAUGCCGCGUGUGUGAAGAAGGCCUUCGGGUUGUAAAGCACUUUCAGUGGGGAAGAAAGCCUUGGGGCUAAUACCCUCGAGGAAGGACAUCACCCACAGAAGAAGCACCGGCUAACUCCGUGCCAGCAGCCGCGGUAAUACGGAGGGGUGCGAGCGUUAAUCGGAAUUACUGGGCGUAAAGCGCGCGUAGGCGGUCUGAUAAGCCGGUUGUGAAAGCCCCGGGCUCAACCUGGGAACGGCAUCCGGAACUGUCAGGCUAGAGUGCAGGAGAGGAAGGUAGAAUUCCCGGUGGAGCGGUGAAAUGCGUAGAGAUCGGGAGGAAUACCAGUGGCGAAGGCGGCCUUCUGGACUGAUACUGACGCUGAGGUGCGAAAGCGUGGGUAGCAAACAGGAUUAGAUACCCUUGGAGGC